UACGAGAGGCCCAAACGUUAUUCGGAAUUACUGGGCUUAAAGAGUUCGUAGGCGGCGCAACAAGUGGGGUGUGAAAUCCCUCGGCUUAACCGAGGAAUUGCGCUCCAAACUGUUGUGCUUGAGGGACCUAGAGGUGAGCGGAACUGAUGGUGGAGCGGUGAAAUGCGUUGAUAUCAUCAGGAAGCACCGGAGGCGAAGGCGCUCACUGGAUCUUUUCUGACGCUGAGGCGCGAAAGCUAGGGGAGCAAACGGG
rnacentral:rRNA from 1 species